CCUACGGGUGGCAGCAGUGAGGAAUAUUGGUCAAUGGACGAGAGUCUGAACCAGCCAAGUAGCGUGAAGGAUGACUGCCCUAUGGGUUGUAAACUUCUUUUAUAUGGGACUAAAAUGUUCCACGUGUGGGAUUUUGUAUGUACCCUAUGAAUAAGGAUCGGCUAACUCCGUGCCAGCAGCCGCCGUAAUACGGAGGAUCCGAGCGUUAUCCUGAUUUAUUGGGUUUAAAGGGCGCGUAGGUGGAUUGUUAAGUCAGUUGUGAAAUUUUGCGGCUCAACCGUAAAAUUGAAGUUGAAACUGGCAGUCUUGAGGACAGUAGAGGUGGGCGGAAUGCGUGGUGUAGCGGUGAAAUGCUUAGAUAUCACGAAGAACUCCGAUUGCGAAGGCAGCUCACUGGCCUGCAACUGACACUGAGGCUCGAAAGCGUGGGUAUCAAACAGGAUUAGAUACCCUAGUAGUC
rnacentral:rRNA from 1 species